GAGUGAGUGGCGAACUGGUGAGUAACACGUGGGAAACCUGCCCAGAAGCGGGGGAUAACACCUGGAAACAGAUGCUAAUACCGCAUAACAACUUGGACCGCAUGGUCCGAGUUUGAAAGAUGGCUUCGGCUAUCACUUUUGGAUGGUCCCGCGGCGUAUUAGCUAGAUGGUGGGGUAACGGCUCACCAUGGCAAUGAUACGUAGCCGACCUGAGAGGGUAAUCGGCCACAUUGGGACUGAGACACGGCCCAAACUCCUACGGGAGGCAGCAGUAGGGAAUCUUCCACAAUGGACGAAAGUCUGAUGGAGCAACGCCGCGUGAGUGAAGAAGGGUUUCGGCUCGUAAAACUCUGUUGUUAAAGAAGAACAUAUCUGAGAGUAACUGUUCAGGUAUUGACGGUAUUUAACCAGAAAGCCACGGCUAACUACGUGCCAGCAGCCGCGGUAAUACGUAGGUGGCAAGCGUUGUCCGGAUUUAUUGGGCGUAAAGCGAGCGCAGGCGGUUUUUUAAGUCUGAUGUGAAAGCCUUCGGCUCAACCGAAGAAGUGCAUCGGAAACUGGGAAACUUGAGUGCAGAAGAGGACAGUGGAACUCCAUGUGUAGCGGUGAAAUGCGUAGAUAUAUGGAAGAACACCAGUGGCGAAGGCGGCUGUCUGGUCUGUAACUGACGCUGAGGCUCGAAAGUAUGGGUAGCAAACAGGAUUAGAUACCCUGGUAGUCCAUACCGUAAACGAUGAAUGCUAAGUGUUGGAGGGUUUCCGCCCUUCAGUGCUGCAGCUAACGCAUUAAGCAUUCCGCCUGGGGAGUACGGCCGCAAGGCUGAAACUCAAAGGAAUUGACGGGGGCCCGCACAAGCGGUGGAGCAUGUGGUUUAAUUCGAAGCUACGCGAAGAACCUUACCAGGUCUUGACAUACUAUGCAAAUCUAAGAGAUUAGACGUUCCCUUCGGGGACAUGGAUACAGGUGGUGCAUGGUUGUCGUCAGCUCGUGUCGUGAGAUGUUGGGUUAAGUCCCGCAACGAGCGCAACCCUUAUUAUCAGUUGCCAGCAUUAAGUUGGGCACUCUGGUGAGACUGCCGGUGACAAACCGGAGGAAGGUGGGGAUGACGUCAAAUCAUCAUGCCCCUUAUGACCUGGGCUACACACGUGCUACAAUGGAUGGUACAACGAGUUGCGAACUCGCGAGAGUAAGCUAAUCUCUUAAAGCCAUUCUCAGUUCGGAUUGUAGGCUGCAACUCGCCUACAUGAAGUCGGAAUCGCUAGUAAUCGCGGAUCAGCAUGCCGCGGUGAAUACGUUCCCGGGCCUUGUACACACCGCCCGUCACACCAUGAGAGUUUGUAAC
rnacentral:rRNA from 2 species